rnacentral:misc_RNA from 1 species
UCCGCUUUACAGCGGCAGUUUGUUCCGAGUCCCCGACUUUACUCGCUGGCAACAUAAGAUAGGGGUUGCGCUCGUUGCGGGACUUAACCCAACACCUCACGGCACGAGCUGACGACAACCAUGCACCACCUGUGCACGGCCCCGAAGGACACCAUAUCUCUAUGGCUUUUCCGUGCAUUUCAAGCCUUGGUAAGGUUCUUCGCGUUGCUUCGAAUUAAGCCACAUGCUCCGCCGCUUGUGCGGGCCCCCGUCAAUUCCUUUGAGUUUCAGUCUUGCGACCGUACUCCCCAGGCGGCGAACUUAACGCGUUAGCUUCGAUACUGCGUGCCAAAUUGCACCCAACAUCCAGUUCGCAUCGUUUAGGGCGUGGACUAC